rnacentral:lncRNA from 1 species
AAAAAUACUCAAAGGAUAACUCAAGCAAACUGAAGUAGUAGUCACUGAACCCUUUGCAGGAGUAUCAAUCACCAUACUUCCAAGCAUCUCAGAUAUCUCUAACUUAAGUUUCACAGCACAAUCCAAAGAUAUAAAGGAAUGAGUAGCACCGGUGUCAAUAAUAGCUACAAGAGGAAAGCCAUUAAUAUAACACGUACCUCGGAUCAAACGAUCAUCUGCAGAAGUCUCAGAACCCGAUAAAG